CUCAAACGAUUCAUCUUCAUCCUAUCUCCAAAUCAGAUUCAACGAAAGGAAAGCUCAAACCAUAAGUCGUUACAAAAUACCUUCAAACUUAAUUUCUCUAACAAAGUAACUUCACACUUAAAUCACCCUUCAAACCUAAAUCCACGAUGGAGAAUCUCAAACAUCAAUCGUUCCUAAUAACUUCCACAUCACCGCCACUUCUCCAUCCUCUUUAUAUAAAUUCUGAUCCUUCCACCAAUACAAUUUACAACUCAUUUCUACCCAUCAUAUACUAUCACAGCCAUGGCAUCCUCUGAACCUGUUGGAGUAGUUAGAAAAACAAAGAGGUAAUCGAACAGACAUGAUGGCCAAUGAUCUGUUUUGUGUUUUGAAUUUUUUGAUAUAUUAUCUUCUUUAUAAAUUGCACCGAGCAUUAUUCAUCCGAACUUAAAAUAUUGUCAUCGCAAUUUCUUCACAUAAUUGUCAACACUUUUUUUGUCUAGUUUCGAAAACCCAAUCGGCAACUGUCAACACAAAUCCAGAAGACCAAUUCCAAGGCUUUCCCUCUUUGUAGUCUUAAUUAUUUUUGGAUCUGUGCUAUUCGAUCAAGCUAUUGAAAGGUCAAAAAUCGUUUUUUCGUCUUCUCAUCUUCUAAUCUUACAGAUUCAUUGGCGUCUCUUUGAGACAGAAAUGAGGCCAAAGAUUCUAUGUCUGACCUUAUUUUUAAUUUGAAGCAGUAUUAUCUUCACCCAUAAUCUGUUAUUACGAGUCCUCUUUACCUACGGGUAAGUUGAAAACAGGCGGCUACGAUUCAGUAGCUAGGUUAUUGGCUUUAAUUUCUUUACAGAAUUGAACAAUAUUGUCAUCUAUUACUCUACUUUGGAAUCAAAUUAUCAACCGUCAAAGUAAAUCUGAAUAUGUUCCUUACUUAUUUAUGCAGGUUUUCCAUAUCAGAUUGUUCUCAUGGUGCUUCAAAUCUCUACAGUACAACUAAGUCACUGCUAUAAUCAAAGAGUUCUGCUUUAAAUCUCUGAUCAUUAUAUCUUCUAGCCAGUUUCCAAUCUCUGGAGAGGCAGCAAAGCAAGAGCACGUGAUGAACGAUGGAACCAGCGGACGCCAUCUAGGUCUGCGGUUAGAUAUUUGGAUCUAUGAUGAUUUAUUUCAGUUUUAAUCUUUUCCAUGUCUCUGUUUUAGGUGAUUUAAUUUCUCAUUACAUUUGGUCGGUAAUGCAGUAGGAAAGACAAACUACCCUAUUAAAUUCAUUGGUUAUACUAACCUAUAUGGUUUUCUAUUACCAUAUGCCCUUAGAAGCUGCUAAGAAGAUGUAAGAUUUCGUCUACAAAACGUGUAAGGUGGAUUUUCUUAUUUGGUUUUAGCCAGAUCGAUGUGAGUGAUUAAAAUUAGCUCAUGUAGUCUUAAUUUUCAAAUAAAUAUCUAAUACAAAACUAUGAGAGGCUUUGUGAUACCAAAAGGGACAUGAAAAAAUACUUAUGGUCUUCACGAUCCAGACAAAUAAGUUUCAACGUAAUUACAUCUCAUGUGGAGACGAAAUUACAUGUUUUAUAAUGUUUUUUGCUUCUACAUUAUUUCAUUAUGCUUCGAUAUAAAAUGUUAUAUUUAGAAA
rnacentral:lncRNA from 1 species